rnacentral:rRNA from 1 species
AAAAGAAACCAACCGGGAUUGCCUCAGUAACGGCGAGUGAAGCGGCAAGAGCUCAAAUUUGAAAGCUGGCUCCUUCGGGGUCCGCAUUGUAAUUUGCAGAGGAUGCUUCGGGUGCGGUCCCUGUCUAAGUGCCCUGGAACGGGCCGUCAGAGAGGGUGAGAAUCCCGUCUGGGAUGGGGUGCCGCGCCCGUGUGAAGCUCCUUCGACGAGUCAAGUUGUUGGGGAAUGCAGUUCUAAAUGGGUGGUAAAUUUCAUCUAAAGUUAAAUAUGGGCCGGAGACCGAUAGCGCCCAAGUAGAGUGAUCGAAAGAUGAAAAGCACUUUGAAAAGAGAGUUAAAAAGCACGUGAAAUUGUUGAAAGGGAAGCGCUUGCNACCAGACUCGCCUCCAGGGUUCAGCCGGCAUUCGUGCCGGUGUACUCCCCUGGGGGCGGGCCAGCNUCGGUUUGGGCGGCCGGUCAAAGGCUCCCGGAAUGUANUGCCCUCCGGGGCACCUUAUAGCCGGGAGUGCAAUGCGGCCAGCCUGGACCGAGGACCGCGCUUCGGC